AUAUCUUGCUGAAUCAAAGGGAGAUCCAAAAAGUAUGUUGUCUCGUACAGUAGCAUUAAAAAUCCAUGAAACUUGUGGAACAUAAGCAACUGUUCCCCUAAUAACAGCACUUGCAUCUGAUAUCGCAGGAAGCUCCCCAAGCAUUGCUGAAAUUAAUGAGGUCUUUCCCUCUCCAGUACUACCAACAAUUGCCACUAGGCUACCAAUAGGUAUAUCCACGUUGACAUUUGAUAACGUGGGCCUCUCUGCCUUUGAAUCCCAAGAGAAGUAUCCAUUUUUUAUUGAGAUGGCGGGUUGUCCUGUCUCAAGAGGAGGGUUUGGUAGAAGGAUCCUCUCUUCAGCCAGAA
rnacentral:misc_RNA from 1 species